ACAAGUUAGUCUUCGCUCAAAGCCUUUCGUUGAUCAUGGAAGAUGAUCCAGAGCCUGACACAGAAUUACAUUUCUUUCAAAAUUUUCAAUGUUACUUAAAAAUGGAUGGUAUAGGGAAAGCAAAGGCUAAACUAGCGCUCCAGUCUUGCAAUAACAUCAUUGGAGCUGUUCUCAGUUCUUGCCAUUGGAGUAAUUUGAGCCAAUGUCAAAAAAGACAUCGGAGCAAAAAGUCUCCAUUUUAAAUGCUUCUUUAAAUGGUGAAGAGCAAUAGAUCGAGGUUGUGUUGCUGAAGAGAUUAGAGCAAAUCAUGUUGUGGGAUGUCCAUGUCUGUAUGUUUCUAGCUUCAGUUGGCACAACACAGUUUCUCGACAAGUCCAUCAAGAUUGUUUGGAUGAGUCCAAGCUCAGUUGAUUCAUCAGAAGAGCAAUAUGAAGAGAAGUUCAGUUACCGCUAGUCAACAAGAAACCAUGCAUGAUCAGGCCGAAGGAUUUGAUCAUGAAUUUCUUCACCUUGAGCUGAUCUGGCAAGAUGAGUUAUCAGGCCUUUUAAGGGAGUACGCUGAUAAUGCUUUCAAAGAGAGCUGAUGUGUUGUGUUUGGGAACAUGGUUGAGCUUGGAGAUUCAUCCAACAACUCAGAUGGGAUUUGUCAGGGACUGUGUAGUUAGCUGAAGUGAGGGGAUACUGAUGCAUGAUCCUGCAGCCUUUUGGCCUCUUGAUCUUUUGCUACUUCAUCAUUUGAGAAGAACUAGCCAUUGAAUCAUGUGCAAUAGUUGGCAUGACGGCGAAUUGAUAGUUCAUGUGCUCAUGACCUGAUCAUUCAAUUGAAGUCUGAAACAGAGCAUUGAGGCAGAGAGUUGAAAUUCUAGCAAGCUCAAAUGAAGAUGAAGUUAUGUAUGAUAAGAUUGAUGCAUUGAGAGUUGAAAACAAAGUUCUAUAAGAAAAAUUGAAGUGCGCAACAGAUGCUGAAGAAAAGUAAGGAGACAGAAUACUGUUUUUAAGUUUGUUGUAAUUUUUUCUUUGGUUAUUCUUUAGUUUGUAUUUUUCAGUAACAUUAGGUGAAGGGAAAAAGUCUAAAAUGGUGGCCUUCCCUGUAGGCUGAAAUGGUAAAUAAAGUGCAUAAA
rnacentral:sRNA from 10 species